UAGUCCACGCCGUAAACGAUGAGUGCUAGUUGUCGGGACUUCGGUUUCGGUGACGCAACUAACGCAUUAAGCACUCCGCCUGGGGAGUACGGUCGCAAGAUUAAAACUCAAAGGAAUUGACGGGGGCCCGCACAAGCGGUGGAGUAUGUGGUUUAAUUCGAAGCAACGCGCAGAACCUUACCUACCCUUAACAUUUCACGACGUAUACAGAGAUGUAUAUUUCUCUUCGGAGACGUGAGGAUAGGUGCUGCAUGGCUGUCGUCAGCUCGUGUCGUAAGAUGUCUGGUUAAGUCCAAUAACGAGCGCAACCCUUAUCCUUAGUUACCAGCAUUAAGUUGGGGACUCUAGGGAGACUGCCGGUGUUAAACCGGAGGAAGGCGGGGAUGACGUCAAGUCCUCGGGGCCCUUACGGGUAGGGCUACACACGUACUACAAUGGCAGAUACAAACCGUUUGCAAAGCCGCGAGGUUGAGCUAAUCGGUAAAACACUGUCCCAGUCCGGAUUGGAGUCUGCAACUCGACUCCAUGAAGA
rnacentral:rRNA from 1 species